AUUAAUUUCCUUAUUAGAGAAUGGUGGGAGAUAUAUUUUGUGAAGUUUUCUAGAAUGUUUAUUACUGUAGGGAGACUUGCUCUGAUCUUUCUUUUAGCAACGAUGAUUGAUAAUGGUUUUUCGGGUUACAUUGUCAAAGAAGUCAAAGAAGAAGUCGAACAGAUUACGUCUCCGUUGAAAAACUGCACCCUUGGGAUCGAUAUAAGGGCCAGGGAAAUUCUAAUAUGGCCAUCUGGUUUUGAGAUUAAACUUCAAUCAAGUACUGAUAAUUGACUGUUUUUGUCGUUAAGUUUUGGGCAAAGGAAAAAGACAAACCUUUUCAUUUUUUAUGUUCAAAUGGCCAAAACGUUUCAGCGAGCUCACAACCAGAGAACUAUACUUCCAUCAAAAGUUCUUGUUCAGAACCUAAAAAACAGGUGCAGAAUGAUGUCGAAUACUGGAUCAAUGAUACCUCUACAGUUCGAAUAUGGUUUAUGGACAACAGCUCCACAAACUGCAGUUUUUUUGACGAAAUAAAUGAAGGUUAUGCUUUGACGUUUAGCUUGCAAGCCUAUGAACAUGGUCUAAAUCGACUAGACUACUUAGAAGUAGAAGAGGUUCUACUUCCAGUACUUGCGGGACAACUUUUUGUUAUUUUAAUAUUUUUUGGACUAUGGAAAAUACUAAUAAGGAAGGGUUUCUUUGGUAAAAAGAAUAAAAUAGACUUUUUCGACGUAAAAGCAAAUCCAGAUAUAGCGGACAUUUCAGCUGGAUUGUUUCCAAGUCCAUCAAGUCCAAUCCUGUCUGAGGCGUCAUCAAGGACGAGUCAGAUUUCAGUCCAUCCUUCUCAUUCCUCGCUUGAAAAAGAAAAGAAAUCAUCUGAUUCUCCACUUAAGCCAAUUCCGGUGGAUAUCCCUAAAGCUCCUUCAACAGAUGAUAUCGUUCGUGAAACCGAGGCAAAAAUAUCAAAACCAAAACCACCGAAGACACUUCCUAAGCCAAAAUUUCGUAAACGUCUUGAUGAAGCAUUAGCUUAUCCAAGAGAAACAAUUAAAUCAAUGCGUCCUCCUUCUCAGAAAUUACCACAAAAGACUGUAACUAAAAAGCCUCCAAAGGAAAAUUUGAUUCCAGGUUUUUUGGUGGAGCUUGAACAAAAACAGAAAUACAUCUUGCGAACAAAAAUAAAAGACAACUUGGAACGAGAUAGUCGGAUAGUUUCAACAGAGAUAGAACAUAUAGAGGUGUUGAACAAAAAAUGCCGGCGGACUACGUAUAUCGACAUGUCUGGGAUGCAAAAACUAAAGAGGAACCCAGAUAAAAGCGAGGAGGAAAAUAUAUAUGAAAACAUGACGGCCUUAAGGCGUCUUGGGCAGUUAAUUGGUCGGUCUGAGACCAAACCCGAGCAUAUGUGCAGCCGUUUACUCGGAAAAGAAGACCCCCAUUACUAUGAGAUUGGAAGUGCACAAUGCGAAUCAAUUUUGGGAAAUCUAAAGGACAGGAACCCGGAUAGACCUGUGAUUUGGAAUAUGAAAACUCAGAGCAGAGAGUUUACUUAUAUCACAAAAAUUGACUCUACGGAAGAGGUGAAUCGCAGAAAAAAAUGGAAGAGAUUUCGAACCUCGAAGCAAAUUUCAUCUCUUGAACCUCAUCAUAUUUCGAUCUUUUUCGACGAUAGGUCCAAUACGGACAGUAUAGGCACUGGUUCAGAUUUUGACCGCCUAUCAUACAUAUCUGCUCUAGAUGGAAUAUACAGAAGUUCAACGGUCCAGAACGCUCAUUUUGCGUACGUAUUUGAUAGUAUAAAGGAAUCGAGAUCGUCCAGCGCUCAAGAUAUCUCAGAGAUUUCAUUUGACAAUCCUGUCGAACACCACGAAAUGUGUACGCGGAGGGCGUCUUUCUCCAGUUCAGACUCAGGUCUAAGUGAAGACGAUUCAAAAAUCAACGAUUGCCUAGUAUGUGAGCAUCAAGAAAACGUUGUGUACGUUAACAUAGCUGAACUGAGGACUCCAGUGAGAACUCCGGAGCCCACCCCAAGGGUCGGGGGUUUCCGAGGAAGGAUGAAGAGAGGUAGUGUGAAAUCAGCGGCAUCGAAAAAUGAGGAUAUCAGGGUACAGGUGGUGAACAGCUGCUCACAGAGACAAAAAUCAACAAUUUAUGUAGAAUAAUGUAAUGAUUUUAAUUUGUAUUUAUAAACUUUUAUAUAUAGCAACUCAAAGUUGUAUGAAUAAAAAUGGCACACAC
rnacentral:misc_RNA from 1 species